GAUGAACGCUGGCGGCGUGCCUAAUACAUGCAAGUCGAGCGAACAGACGAGGAGCUUGCUCCUCUGACGUUAGCGGCGGACGGGUGAGUAACACGUGGAUAACCUACCUAUAAGACUGGGAUAACUUCGGGAAACCGGAGCUAAUACCGGAUAAUAUAUUGAACCGCAUGGUUCAAUAGUGAAAGACGGUUUUGCUGUCACUUAUAGAUGGAUCCGCGCCGCAUUAGCUAGUUGGUAAGGUAACGGCUUACCAAGGCAACGAUGCGUAGCCGACCUGAGAGGGAGAACGGCCACACUGGAACUGAGAAACGGCCCAGACUCCUACGGGAGGCAGCAGUAGGGAAUCUUCCGCAAUGGGCGAAAGCCUGACGGAGCAACGCCGCGUGAGUGAUGAAGGUCUUCGGAUCGUAAAACUCUGUUAUUAGGGAAGAACAAAUGUGUAAGUACCUAUGCACGUAUUGACGGUACCUAAUCAGAAAGCCACGGCUAACUCCGUG
rnacentral:rRNA from 1 species